UACGGAGGGUGCAAGCGUUAUCCGGAUUUACUGGGCGUAAAGAGCGCGCAGGCGGUCGUUCAAGUCGCGUGUGAAAGCCCCCGGCUCAACUGGGGAGGGUCACGCGAUACUGAUCGACUCGAAGGCAGGAGAGGGAAGUGGAAUUCCCGGUGUAGUGGUGAAAUGCGUAGAUAUCGGGAGGAACACCAGUGGCGAAGGCGACUUCCUGGCCUGUUCUUGACGCUGAGGCGCGAAAGCUAGGGGAGCAAACGGG
rnacentral:rRNA from 1 species